UACGUAGGGGGCAAGCGUUGUCCGGAUUUAUUGGGCGUAAAGAGCUCGUAGGCGGUUGGGCAAGUCACGUGUGAAAUCUCCACGCUCAACGUGGAGGCGCCACGUGAGACUGCCCUGACUCGAGUCCGGUAGGGGAGCGUGGAAUUCCCGGUGUAGCGGUGAAAUGCGCAGAGAUCGGGAGGAACACCCGUAGCGAAGGCGGCGCUCUGGGCCGGUACUGACGCUGAGGAGCGAAAGCGUGGGGAGCAAUCCGG
rnacentral:rRNA from 1 species